GGGGUGUCUGCUGAUGUUUGCUGCUUCUUCUCCUUCCCUCACUACCUUCUCCGCUCGUGUUGCCUGCUGCCGCCGACUGAUAAACUAAUCGGUGAACUGUUGUUGAAGGGCCGAAGGAGCAAGACUGCUGCAAGAGGAAGGUAACACUGGCGAAACAGCAAACCAUGGUCCAGGAAAGCAUAUAUGUAGUUAUUGAAGGAAAUAUGCCCUAGAGGCAAUAAUAAAGUUAUUAUUUAUUUCC